AUUAAAGUCCAUAGGACACUGGUCCUCCAGGACUGGAGCUGUAUAGACCUGCUUUAAAACUUCUAGGAGAAUCAAGUACUCUUGGAGACAACUUAAUCACUGUAAUCUGCUGGAGAAUGCCAGUGGGAUGGAUGCUUUGCCCACACCCAAAACCAUCUGCUGCUCUAAAUGGUUUGUGAGCAGAUCUGCCACUGUCUAUGAGGAAGGAUAUUGUAACAAACAAAUAAAUAAAUAAAAUGACUGACAAAGGGA